GGUGGAGGACUUGCUGCUG
rnacentral:misc_RNA from 1 species